GACCCUCAACAAGCCGGCAAAUUAUUAAUGCAAGUUGUUCAUCCCCAAGAUUCUUUGCACAGACAGUGAUUGCAGAAUAAUUAUCACCUCCAAGUAGAAAGAAAGCAAUAGCUAGCUCCAGUUGAUGUCUUCCCAUUAAGACAUAAGCAUUUUUUAAAGCAGCUGCUUUAUUUUUCUCCUCCUGAAAAUUGCGAGAAAGAAAUCCCACCAAGAGUUUGUCCUUUUCAUCUUUACUGAUUUUAAAAAGAC
rnacentral:misc_RNA from 1 species